GACGAACGCUGGCGGCGCGCUUAACACAUGCAAGUCGAACGGAAAGGCCUGCUUUCCCUUGUGGAUUGCGGGUACUCGAGUGGCGAACGGGUGAGUAACACGUGAGUGAUCUGCCCCCAACUUGGGUAUAAGCCUGGGAAACUGGGUCUAAUUCCCGAUAGGACUGCAGGGUGGUGCCUGUGGUGGAAAACGAUUUUCUAGUGGUUGGGGAUGAGCUCGCGGCCUAUCAGCUUGUUGGUGGGGUAAUGGCCUACCAAGGCGGCGACGGGUAGCCGGCCUGGGAGGGUGGACGGCCACAGUGGGACUGAGAUACGGCCCAGACUCCUACGGGAGGCAGCAGUGGGGAAUAUUGCACAAUGGGCGGAAGCCUGAUGCAGCGACGCCGCGUGGGGGAUGACGGCCUUCGGGUGGUAAACUCCUUUCGACCGCGAGGAAGCCACCUGGUUGGAAGGGUGGUGACGGUAGUGGUAGAAGAAGCACCGGCUAACUACGUG
rnacentral:rRNA from 1 species